rnacentral:rRNA from 1 species
UACAGAGGGGGCAAGCGUUGUUCGGAUUUACUGGGCGUAAAGGGCGCGUAGGCGGCAUGACAAGUCACUUGUGAAAUCUCUGGGCUUAACCCAGAACGGCCAAGUGAUACUGUCGCGCUAGAGUGCAGAAGGGGCAAUCGGAAUUCUCGGUGUAGCGGUGAAAUGCGUAGAUAUCGAGAGGAACACCAGAGGUGAAGACGGGUUGCUGGGCUGACACUGACGCUGAGGCGCGAAAGCCAGGGGAGCAAACGGG